GACGAACGCUGGCGGCGUGCUUAACACAUGCAAGUCGAGCGGUAAGGCCCUUUCGGGGGUACACGAGCGGCGAACGGGUGAGUAACACGUGGGUGACCUGCCCUCAGCUCUGGGAUAAGCCUGGGAAACCGGGUCUAAUACUGGAUAUGACUCCAUGACGCAUGUUGGUGGGGUGGAAAGCCUUGUGCGGCUGAGGAUGGGCCCGCGGCCUAUCAGCUUGUUGGUGGGGUGAGGCCUACCAAGGCGACGACGGGUAGCCGGCCCGAGAGGGCGACCGGCCACACUGGGACUGAGACACGGCCCAGACUCCUACGGGAGGCAGCAGGUGGGGAAUCUUGCGCAAUGGGCGAAAGCCUGACGCAGCGACGCCGCGUGA
rnacentral:rRNA from 1 species